rnacentral:rRNA from 1 species
CUACGGGUGGCACCAGUGGGGAAUAUUGCACAAUGGGGGAAACCCUGAUGCAGCGACGCCGCGUGAAGGAAGAAGGCCUUCGGGUUGUAAACUUCUUUGAUUGGGGACGAAUAAAAUGACGGUACCCAAAGAACAAGCCACGGCUAACUACGUGCCAGCAGCCGCGGUAAUACGUAGGUGGCAAGCGUUGUCCGGAAUUACGGGGUGUAAAGGGCGUGUAGGCGGGUAUGCAAGUCAGAUGUGAAAUUCCACGGCUUAACUGUGGGCGUGCAUCUGAAACUGUAUAUCUUGAGUGCUGGAGAGGAAAGCGGAAUUCCUAGUGUAGCGGUGAAAUGCGUAGAUAUUAGGAGGAACACCAGUGGCGAAGGCGGCUUUCUGGACAGUAACUGACGCUGAGGCGCGAAAGCGUGGGGAGCAAACAGGAUUAGAUACCCUCGUAGUC